GAUUAUGCGGAUUUCUAGGUGUACUGCCAUAGAAAAAUGCUCAUUACUGCCGUGGAAGGUAAAAUAUACACUCAACCUAAAGAUACCCAAGAAACAAUAGUUCCCAGAUACACUUCAAAAAAUUAUAUUCCGAGAACAAGGAAAGAUAUCUAAAGCGGUCUGUAUGAGUGACUUGUCAAAUAUUAACUCAAGCAAGACUCUCAGUCACUCAACCAAAGGAAAAAGACUACAAAAAUAUAAUAACUGGACUGGAC
rnacentral:misc_RNA from 1 species